CCUACGGGAGGCAGCAGUGGGGAAUAUUGGGCAAUGGAGGAAACUCUGACCCAGCGACGCCGCGUGCGGGAUGAAGGCCUUCGGGUUGUAAACCGCUUUCAGUAGGGAAGAAGCGAAAGUGACGGUACCUACAAAAGAAGCACCGGCUAACUAUGUGCCAGCAGCCGCGGUAAUACAUAGGGUGCAAGCGUUGUCCGGAAUUAUUGGGCGUAAAGAGCUCGUAGGUCGUUUGUUACGUCGGAUGUGAAAACCUGAGGCUCAACCUCAGGCCUGCAUUCGAUACGGGCAAACUAGAGUUUGGUAGGGGAGACUGGAAUUCCUGGUGUAGCGGUGGAAUGCGCAGAUAUCAGGAGGAACACCAAUGGCGAAGGCAGGUCUCUGGGCCAAUACUGACACUGAGGAGCGAAAGUCUGGGGAGCGAACAGGAUUAGAUACCCUGGUAGUCCAGACCGUAAACGGUGGGCACUAGUUGUGGGAACCUUCACGGUUUCUGCGACGCNGCUACGCAUAGUAGCCCGCCGUCGGGAGGUACGAGCGCGAGAGUAAACGUACGAAAGGAAGUAGUAACGGUCGUGAGACGUGCGACGGACGACGACGAGGGAGGAGG
rnacentral:rRNA from 1 species